rnacentral:rRNA from 1 species
CUUAAGCAUAUCAAUAAGCGGAGGAAAAGAAACCAACAGGGAUUGCCUUAGUAACGGCGAGUGAAGCGGCAACAGCUCAAAUUUGAAAUCUGGCCCUUGGGUCCGAAUUGUAAUUUGUAGAGGAUGAUUUUGGUGCGGUAUCUUCCGAGUUCCUUGGAACAGGACGCCUUAGAGGGUGAGAGCCCCGUACGGUUGAAUGCCUAGCCUUUGUAAAUCUCCUUCGACGAGUCGAGUAGUUUGGGAAUGCUGCUCUAAAUGGGAGGUAAAUUUCUUCUAAAGCUAAAUAUUGGCCAGAGACCGAUAGCGCACAAGUAGAGUGAUCGAAAGAUGAAAAGCACUUUGAAAAGAGGGUUAAAUAGCACGUGAAAUUGUUGAAAGGGAAGGAUUUGUGACCAGACUUUUUCUGGGCGGAUCAUCCGGGGUUCUCUCCGGUGCACUUCGCCCAGUAAAGGCCAGCAUCGAUUUUCGGCGGCGGAUAAAAGCAGUGGGAAUGUGGCUCCUUACGGGGAGUGUUAUAGCCCAUUGUAUAAUACGCUGCUGGGGAUCGAGGUACGCGCUUCUGCAAGGAUGCUGGCGUAAUGGUUAUCAAUCACCCGUCUUGAAACACGGACCAAGGAGUCGAACAUUUGUGCGAGUGUUUGGGUGUUAAACCCUCACGCGUAAUGAAAGUGAACGGAGGUGAGAGCCCUUACGGGUGCAUCAUCGACCGAUCCUGAAGUUUUCGGAUGGAUUUGAGUAAGAGCAUAAAUGUUCGGACCCGAAAGAUGGUGAACUAUGCGUGGAUAGGGUGAAGCCAGAGGAAACUCUGGUGGAGGCUCGCAGCGGUUCUGACGUGCAAAUCGAUCGUCAAAUCUGCGCAUGGGGGCGAAAGACUAAUCGAACCAUCUAGUAGCUGGUUACCGCC